rnacentral:rRNA from 1 species
UACGUAGGGUGCGAGCGUUAAUCGGAAUUACUGGGCGUAAAGCGUGCGCAGGCGGUUUUGUAAGUCUGAUGUGAAAUCCCCGGGCUCAACCUGGGAAUUGCAUUGGAGACUGCAAGGCUAGAAUCUGGCAGAGGGGGGUAGAAUUCCACGUGUAGCAGUGAAAAUGCGUAGAGAUGUGGAGGAACACCGAUGGCGAAGGCAGCCCCCUGGGUCAAGAUUGACGCUCAUGCACGAA